rnacentral:rRNA from 1 species
AGCGAACGCUGGCGGCAGGCUUAACACAUGCAAGUCGAGCGGGCGUAGCAAUACGUCAGCGGCAGACGGGUGAGUAACGCGUGGGAACAUACCUUUUGGUUCGGAACAACACAGGGAAACUUGUGCUAAUACCGGAUAAGCCCUUACGGGGAAAGAUUUAUCGCCGAAAGAUCGGCCCGCGUCUGAUUAGCUAGUUGGUGAGGUAACGGCUCACCAAGGCGACGAUCAGUAGCUGGUCGAGAGGAUGAUCAGCCACACUGGGACUGAGACACGGCCCAGACUCCUACGGGAGGCAGCAGUGGGGAAUAUUGGACAAUGGGCGCAAGCCUGAUCCAGCCAUGCCGCGUGAGUGAUGAAGGCCCUAGGGUUGUAAAGCUCUUUCGGCGGGGACGAUAAUGACGGUACCCGCAGAAGAAGCCCCGGCUAACUUCGUGCCAGCAGCCGCGGUAAC